rnacentral:rRNA from 1 species
UACGUAGGGUGCGAGCGUUAAUCGGAAUUACUGGGCGUAAAGCGUGCGCAGGCGGCGCGUUAAGACAGGUGUGAAAGCCCCGAGCUUAACUUGGGAAUUGCGCUUGUGACUGGCGUGCUGGAGUGUGGCAGAGGGAGGUGGAAUUCCACGUGUAGCAGUGAAAUGCGUAGAGAUGUGGAGGAACACCGAUGGCGAAGGCAGCCUCCUGGGCGAGCACUGACGCUCAUGCACGAAAGCGUGGGGAGCAAACAGG